UACGAAGGGGCUAGCGUUGCUCGGAAUCACUGGGCGUAAAGCGCACGUAGGCGGACUCUUAAGUCGGUGGUGAAAUCCUGGAGCUCGAACUCCAGAACUGCCUUCGAUAACUGGGAGUCUCGAGUCCGGGAGAGGUGAGUGGAACUGCGAGUGUAGAGGUGAAAUUCGUAGAUAUUGCAAGAACACCAGUGGCGAAGGGCGGCUCACUGGCCCGGUACUGACGCUGAG
rnacentral:rRNA from 1 species